CAGCCGCCGCGGUAAUACGUAGGGUGCGAGCGUUAAUCGGAAUUACUGGGCGUAAAGCGUGCGCAGGCGGUUAUAUAAGACAGAUGUGAAAUCCCCGGGCUCAACCCGGGACCUGCAUUUGUGACUGUAUAGCUAGAGUACGGUAGAGGGGGAUGGAAUUCCGCGUGUAGCAGUGAAACGCGUAGAUAUGCGGAGGAACACCGAUGGCGAAGGCAAUCCCCUGGACCUGUACUGACGCUCAUGCACGAAAGCGUGGGGAGCAAACAGGAUUAGAUACCCGAGUAGUCCCUGUCUCUUAUAC
rnacentral:rRNA from 1 species